ACGCUGGCGGCAGGCCUAACACAUGCAAGUCGAGCGGUAGAGAGAAGCUUGCUUCUCUUGAGAGCGGCGGACGGGUGAGUAAUGCCUAGGAAUCUGCCUGGUAGUGGGGGAUAACGUUCGGAAACGGACGCUAAUACCGCAUACGUCCUACGGGAGAAAGCAGGGGACCCUCGGGCCUUGCGCUAUCAGAUGAGCCUAGGUCGGAUUAGCUAGUUGGUGGGGUAAUGGCUCACCAAGGCGACGAUCCGUAACUGGUCUGAGAGGAUGAUCAGUCACACUGGAACUGAGACACGGUCCAGACUCCUACGGGAGGCAGCAGUGGGGAAUAUUGGACAAUGGGCGAAAGCCUGAUCCAGCCAUGCCGCGUGUGUGAAGAAGGUCUUCGGAUUGUAAAGCACUUUAAGUUGGGAGGAAGGGCAGUUACCUAAUACGUGAUUGUUUUGACGUUACCGACAGAAUAAGCACCGGCUAACUCUGUGCCAGCAGCCGCGGUAAUACAGAGGAUGCAAGCGUUAAUCGGAAUUACUGGGCGUAAAGCGCGCGUAGGUGGUUUGUUAAGUUGGAUGUGAAAUCCCCGGGCUCAACCUGGGAACUGCAUUCAAAACUGACUGACUAGAGUAUGGUAGAGGGUGGUGGAAUUUCCUGUGUAGCGGUGAAAUGCGUAGAUAUAGGAAGGAACACCAGUGGCGAAGGCGACCACCUGGA
rnacentral:rRNA from 1 species